ensembl:snoRNA
UCUUCAUUGAUGACUGAUAGUGACUUUCGUUCUUCUGAGACUACUGAAGCCAACCUUUCUGUCUUAAGAGCA